rnacentral:rRNA from 1 species
CCUACGGGUGGCAGCAGUCGAGAAUCAUUCACAAUGGGGGAAACCCUGAUGGUGCGACGCCGCGUGGGGGAAUGAAGGUCUUCGGAUUGUAAACCCCUGUCAUGUGGGAGCAAAUUAAAAAGAUAGUACCACAAGAGGAAGAGACGGCUAACCCUGUGCCAGCAGCCGCGGUAAUACAGAGGUCUCAAGCGUUGUUCGGAAUCACUGGGCGUAAAGCGUGCGUAGGCUGUUUCGUAAGUCGUGUGUGAAAGGCGCGGGCUCAACCCGCGGACGGCACAUGAUACUGGGAGACGUGAGUGAUGGAGAGGGAACCGGAAGUCUCGGUGUAGCAGUGAAAUGCGUAGAUAUCGAGAGGAACACUCGUGGCGAAGGCGGGUUCCUGGACAUUAACUGACGCUGAGGCACGAAGGCCAGGGGAGCGAAAGGGAUUAGAUACCCGAGUAGUC